UCCACUGUGGCAGUCAUGGAGGGUCACUGUUCUGGUCACCUCUUUAAAAAGAACUUACCUGGGAGACGUGGUCCCACUGCGGGCUCGCUCUGCGGUGCGCUAGGCUUGGUGGGAAGGCCUGUUCUCGAGUCCGCGCUUUUCGUCACCGCCAUGUCGGGAGGUGGUGUGAUUCGUGGGCCCGCAGGGAACAACGAUUGCCGCAUCUACGUGGGUAACUUACCUCCAGACAUCCGAACCAAGGACAUUGAGGACGUGUUCUACAAAUACGGCGCUAUCCGCGACAUCGACCUCAAGAAUCGCCGCGGGGGACCGCCCUUCGCCUUCGUUGAGUUCGAGGACCUGCGAGACGCGGAAGACGUGGUGUAUGGUCGCGACGGCUAUGAUUACUAUGGGUACCGUCUGCGGGUGGAGUUUCCUCCAAGCGGCCGUGGAACAGGCCGAGGCGGCAGCGGGGGUGGAGGUGGCGGAGCUCCCCGAGGUCGCUAUGGCCCCCCAUCCAGGCGGUCUGAAAAUAGAGUGGUUGUCUCUGGACUGCCUCCAAGUGGAAGUUGGCAGGAUUUAAAGGAUCACAUGCGUGAAGCAGGUGAUGUAUGUUAUGCUGAUGUUUACCGAGAUGGCACUGGUGUCAUGGAGUUUGUACGGAAAGAAGAUAUGACCUAUGCAGUUCGAAAACUGGAUAACACUAAGUUUAGAUCUCAUGAGGGAGAAACUGCCUACAUCCGGGUUAAAGUUGAUGGGCCCAGAAGUCCAAGUUAUGGAAGAUCUCGAUCUCGAAGCCGUAGUCGUAGCAGAAGCCGUAGCAGAAGCAACAGCAGGAGUCGCAGUUACUCCCCAAGGAGAAGCAGAGGAUCACCACGCUAUUCUCCCCAUCAUAGCAGAUCUCGCUCUCGUACAUAAGAUGAUUGGUAACACUUUUUGUAGAACCCAUGUUGUAUACAGUUUUCCUUUAUUCAGUACAAUCUUUCAUUUUUUAAUUCAAACUGUUUUGUUCAGAAUGGGCUAAAGUGUUGAAUUGCAUUCUUGUAAUAUCCCCUUGCACCUAACAUCUACAUUCCCCUCAUGUCUUUGAUAAAUUGUAUAUUAAGUGAUGUCAUAGACAGGAUUGUUUAAAUUUAGUUAACUCCAUACUCUUCAGACUGUGAUAUUGUGUAAAUGUCUAUUCUGCCCUGGUUUGUGUGAACUGGGAUGUUGGGGGUGUUUGUGGUUACCUUACCUGGGGAAGUUCUUAUGUUUAUCUUGCUUUUCAUGUGUCUUUCUGUAGACAUAUCUGAAGAGAUGGAUUAAGAAUGCUUUGGAUUAAGGAUUGUGGAGCACAUUUCAAUCAUUUUAGGAUUGUCAAUAGGAGGAUUGAGGAGGAUCAGAUCAAUAAUGGAGGCAAUGGUUUGGAUUGGAGAGGGCUCACUGGAUCCCAAUUCUUGGAGCUGGAUCAUUGGAUUCAAAUCAUAAUGUGGAUAGGAUAGGGAGGAUGAAUUACCAGGAUUCAUGGAGCGGGAUCAGAUUACCAGGAACAUAGGAGUGGAUUCCUGCCCCAACCAAACCGCAUUCGUGUGGAUUUUUUUAUUCAAUUUAAUUGGUUAGUCCAAAGAUUUUUUUUUUCCUAUUUUUGACAAUUGGAGCCCUUAAGAUGCACGAUGGAAUUGUGUUUUGCAUUUUUUGGUAAAAGGAGCAAAGCGAGGACCUGGAGAUAAACACUGGAGCAAUCUCCUUGGAAGGAUUCAGCACGAGUAGAUGGUAAACAUUUAAAGGGGAAAGGGAGGGUUUGUUUAAAAUAGUAAAUCAGUAAGUCACUUCUAAAUUUAAAGAAAACAAAAUUGGAGUUGAAGAAUAAGUAGGUUUCCAAUUGGCUAUUGCCAUUUUUCUUUGAAAAAAUAAACAUUUUUUAAAAAA